rnacentral:lncRNA from 1 species
CGAGCGAGGCGCGGGGACCCCCGGCUCCGGGCCUCCCCGGCUAGCGCAGACCCUGGCGCGCGCGGCAGGCACGGAGGCGGCCCCAAGCUCCUGGACGGUGGAGUCCCCCGGCCGCUGGAGGGAGCGCUGAAACCGGCGGACGCCUCACUCGGCCGCUGGCCCGCACUCUCGGGUUACAGCGCGGGGCGCAGAGAGGCCCCCGGGGCCCCAGAGGCUGAAUGGCAGCUGCCCUCCUGCCCCCGACAGGCCCGGCUGCCCGCGGCCCCUCCUUGUCCGGCACCCACGCCUCCCUCCUCCCGGACCUUGCAGAAGGAUGGAGAAGGGGCAGUCCUGCAGGGGGUGCUGGGACUGAAGCCCCCUCGGGGAGGGAGGCUGAGGGUGGCCCCUCUCCUCACCCGCCCCCACUGGCUGUUAAUGCUUUGGGGUGCACUCCUGCUGCCUAGGAGGAGGCCCCGGGCGAUCGCGGGUUGGCCCUGCUACCCACGGCAACAGCCAAGUGCCCUAACGAAAGGAGACGCCCACGGAGAGUAAUCCGUGACAAUGGACUGCCUGUCCCCAUCAGAGACGCAACUGGAUGCCGAGAGGUCACGAGACCCUGGAAAAGCCUUUAGAAGAAAGCUGCUUCUCUCCCACCCUUUAGGGUCUAGUGAGCAUGGGAAACACAGGCCCGCGCCCUGAACCCAAGGGGGACGCCACGUAGCUGAUCGGAAAUACCCUAACUGAUGGAUUGCACUGAUUCGUUCAAUUUUAUGUCAGCACAAGAGCGAUGGAUGAUAAAAAUCCAUGUCUAUGAAGUCCAAAAGAGCUCUUUCAAUAAAUAUAAAGAAAAGUUUGCACGGCUAAAAAUGCAUCAUAUCAGCUUUAUUGCCAGUUUUUCUUCCGCGGUGAUCUGGGUGCAUCUUUGAAUGGAAGGCUUCUUAGUUCCUAUGAAACAGGGUAUUUUACUGCCAGGUAUAAAUUCCCAGCCCUCAGGCUUGACCUCCCCGCUACAUGGCCACCUGGACUCCAAUACUGUGGUUCUCUCUGGAUUCCAGGAGGCGCCCUCUCCCCAAGACUUUCCCUUCCACAGAGACUCUCUGGAGCCGGCCCCCUGCUCUCAGGCCCUUCUCACCUCCCCCCGCCCCCACAGAGUCUGGCAGCUCCUUCUCCUGCUUCAGAACCUCAUUCUUUUCUGCCACUUCUCUUUUUCAAAGCACCUCCUUUCUGUGUAAUUCCAGCCUAUUUCCACCCCACGCUGCCAAACAGAUGCGCUAAUUUCCAUCAGCUGUGCUGUCAACCAUCUCUAAAACGGGAGGCAGUAAGGUACG